rnacentral:rRNA from 1 species
UGGGGGAUAUUGCACAAUGGGCGAAAGCCUGAUGCAGCGACGCCGCGUGGGGGAUGAAGGCCUUCGGGUUGUAAACUUCUUUUGCUCUGAACAAGGCAUGCCUUUGGGGUGUGUUGAGUGUAGGGGUUGAUUAGCGCCGGCUAACUACGUGCCAGCAGCCGCGGUAAUACGUAGGGCGCGAGCGUUGUCCGGAAUUAUUGGGCGUAAAGGGCUUGUAGGUGGCUGGUUGCGUCUGUCGUGAAAGCUCAUGGCUUAACUGUGGGUUUGCGGUGGGUACGGGCUGGCUUGAGUGCAGUAGGGGAGGCUGGAAUUCCUGGUGUAGCGGUGGAAUGCGCAGAUAUCAGGAGGAAUACCGGUGGCGAAGGCGGGUCUCUGGGCUGUUACUGACGCUGAGAAGCGAAAGCGUGGGGAGCGAACAGG